rnacentral:rRNA from 1 species
UACAGAGGGUGCAAGCGUUAAUCGGAAUUACUGGGCGUAAAGCGUGCGUAGACGGUUAUGUAAGUCAGGUGUGAAAGCCCCGGGCUCAACCUGGGAAUGCCAUUUGAGACUGCAUAGCUAGGGUACGGAAGAGGGAAGCGGAAUUUCAGGUGUAGCGGUGAAAUGCGUAGAUAUACUGAAGGAACACCAGUGGCGAAAGCGGCUUCCUGGUCCAGUACCGACGUCAGGCACGAAAGCGUGGGGAGCAAACAGG